rfam:Pristionchus pacificus strain PS312 contig8170, whole genome shotgun sequence.
UCUUCGUUUCGCACGCUCUCUCGCCCGGUUGAGUGGUGAGAGAGUGUGUGAAAUGAAGAGA